rnacentral:rRNA from 1 species
CUGGCGGCGUGCCUAACACAUGCAAGUCGAACGGGAAAACAGGGGCAACUCUGUGAGUACAGUGGCGUACGGGUGAGUAACACGUGACUACCUACCCUCGAGUGGGGGAUAACCCCGGGAAACCGGGGCUAAUACCGCAUAACAUCACAAGAUCAAAGGAGCAAUUCGCUUGAGGAGGGGGUCGCGGCUGAUUAGCUAGUUGGUGAGGUAACGGCCCACCAAGGCGAUGAUCGGUAGCCGGCCUGAGAGGGCGCACGGCCACACUGGAACUGAAACACGGUCCAGACUCCUACGGGAGGCAGCAGUGGGGAAUUUCGCGCAAUGGGGGAAACCCUGACGCAGCAACGCCGCGUGGAGGAUGAAGUCCCUUGGGACGUAAACUCCUUUCGACCCGGACGAUAAUGACGGUACGGGUGGAAGAAGCACCGGCUAACUUCGUGCCAGCAGCCGCGGUAAUACGAGGGGUGCGAGCGUUGUUCGGAAUUAUUGGGCGUAAAGGGCGCGUANGCGGUGCGGUAAGUCACCUGUGAAAUCUCCCGGCUCAACUGGGAGCUUG